rnacentral:rRNA from 1 species
AGUGAACGCUGGCGGUAGGCCUAACACAUGCAAGUCGAACGGCAGCACCGUAAGAGCUUGCUCUUACGGGUGGCGAGUGGCGGACGGGUGAGGAAUACAUCGGAAUCUACUUUUUCGUGGGGGAUAACGUAGGGAAACUUACGCUAAUACCGCAUACGACCUACGGGUGAAAGCAGGGGAUCGUCGGACCUUGCGCGAGGGAAUGAGCCGAUGUUGGAUUAGCUAGUUGGCGGGGUAAAGGCCCACCAAGGCGACGAUCCGUAACUGGUAUGAGAGGAUGAUCAGCCACACUGGAACUGAGACACGGUCGAGACUCCUGCGGGGGGCCGCAGUGGGGAAUAUUGGACGAUGGGGGCAAGCCUGAUCCAGCCAUACCGCGUGGGUGAAGAAGGCCUUCGGGUUGGAGAGCCCUUUUGUUGGGAAAGAAAAGCAGCAGGUUAAUACCCCGCUGUUCUGACGGUACCCAAAGAAUAAGCGCCGGCUAACUUCGUG